CAUGUGUGCCGUGUUGGUUCACCUGUGGUGGUGAAUCCUGGUUAAGUGAUCUGAUCUAGAGGUGUGUGGGUGACUAGAACCUUCAACCCACCUGCGGCUCAGCGCUGUGACUCAUCCACUGAGACUCGCGCUGCUGUAGUCUGAUCUUCUGUCACGUGAUGCCCUGAAGCGAUGGACCCGAGCCACAUCUACACAGCAGAAUAUCACACAGACUUGAAGAAAAAUGGAUCAAACUGACUGAUGAGUCAUCGAGCACUACACAGGUUUCUGUCCAAUCAGAACGAGAAUACCCCUCCCCCGAUACCGCCUGCCAUCAGCUAGCAAUAACGAGUCUUCAAAUCAGUGUGGACGGACGGACGGACAUUUAUAUGGAGCUGAAGACAGGAAUAAAUGCAGAAGCAUUUGUGGUGUUCAGGCAGAAGCUUCAUCUUCAGUGCCAUGAAAAAUCUGGAAAUAUCAGGAUUCAGGGAGUUUCGAGUGUGGAAGAGUCGUGGAAAUUCCUGAGUGAGUGUGAUCACAAUGAGCCUUCGAAGACCCUUCAUGUCACAGCAUCAGGACCGCAGCAUCACUGCUGAUCAUGUGACGCGUCUCCCAGCAGCACACGGAAAGCCUGCUGGUUCUUCUUUAUCCAGCAGACGAGAGAGAGAGAGAGAGAGAGAGAGGGAGGUACUGAUCACACUGAUCUGAGAACAAUGAAAGUUUGCUGAACUCAUGACGGUCACCACUGGGACGAAGCACCAGGAGAUUCACAGCGACAGCUGCCCGUCAGAGCCGAGGCGAACGAAGACACCCGUUCCUCUGAUGUUCGGACAGGUGUUUUUGCGAUGUCACCCGCCUGGACAUACAUGCUGAUGUACUCUCAGCGUUGUCAUGGAAACGCCUCCGUGUGUUUGGCACCGUGACACGUCUGAGGUGGGAGAGGCAGGUCAGGUCUCAUGUCCACAUGGACGCCAGAAUCCCACAUCCAGAACCAAAGUCAUGAACUGCCCUCUAGUGAUGGUGUUGGACACAAUCCGAUCACAGUCAGUUCAGCACACACACCGAAUCUGACCUGACAUGUAACAUAAGAUACUGAAGGACUUACAGAGCCGCUCUCCUUAUUUACGACUGUUGACUGACCUGCUGUUGAUCACCACACAACCAUUCAGAUGCUCCGUUUGUAAUGCAAGUGGGUUUAAAACUGUCUAUUUUCUUCCCGUCUUCGCUCCAGUCACUCUUCAGAGCGGACCGUGUGUGAGAUCUGAAUAAUCGUGAUGUUCAUCAUGAAAGCGACAGAUCUCAGGUGGAGUGAAAGUGAGCCGUCAUUUCAUCCGCUGGCUUCAUUAAACCUGCAAACCGUGAAAUGGCCAAUCAGAAUCUGUCCCUCCUCGUCAGCCGGUCACCGUGACGACAGGCGUCGCUGGUACUUAACAUCUCUGACCCAGAAACGCCUCCUCAGGUCAACAGACGGCAAACGUUCCUCAAACAGAAGAUCAUGGCGCUCGCAACGCUGAGGUCAUGGGUUCGAUUCCCUGGGAAUGCAUGAACUGAUGAGAUGUAAAGCUGUGUAAGGAGCUUUGGAUAAAAGCAUGUAGAUUCUCUUUCCUUCUACAGUAUACGUCUUACCAGGAAUCAUGGGAAAUAUUAAAAGCAAUUUUUGCUUUAUUUGCACAUUUAAUGAAUUCAGAUUGUUUGUACAGCUUUGAGUAUUUGUCUAUUGGUCAUCUCGGGUGUUGUGUUUGUUUACGGUUCACAGCAGGUUUUUGUGUUUGUUUGUUUGUUGUUGUGUGUGAGGACCGUGAAUGUCGGCUCACCUCUGGGAAUCUGAGUCAGAGCGAUUGUUCAGAGAUUUUUCUGCUCUGUGAUCAGAACAAACACACAUCUGUCCAGAACGACUCGCCAAAUCCUGCGUCACGCAAACACAGUGUGUACGACAAUAAUAUGAUCACCCAAUAAUUCAUUAAAUCACCAAAAAAUCACAUAAAAAAUGCAAUUAAAAUAAAUAAUUGAAAAUUAAAACAACCAAAAUAAAACAGAAAACGCAGAAAAUAAUGAAAGAUUUUUUAAAUCAAUAUUAAAAAAAUUAAUAAUUUAAAAUAAAAUAAUUUUAAAAUAAAGCAACAAAAAUAAAACCAUUAGUAGAAAUUAUGAAAUAUUUGAUUUUAAAUAAAAUACAAUAAAAAAUAAAAACAAAACACUAAAUAAAAAAUAUUUUAUUUUAAGUAAAUCAGA